rnacentral:tRNA from 1 species
AGCGGGGAAGUGGUUCGGUACCACGGGAGGCCCAUAACCUCUAAAUCCAGGUUCAACUCCUGGCCCCGCUA